rnacentral:rRNA from 1 species
ACGGAAGGCAGCAGUGGGGAAUAUUGCACAAUGGGGGAAACCCUGAUGCAGCGACGCCGCGUGAGUGAAGAAGUUAUUCGUAACGUAAAGCUCUAUCAGCAGGGAAGAAAAUGACGGUACCUGACUAAGAAGCCCCGGCUAACUACGUGCCAGCAGCCGCGGUAAUACGUAGGGGGCAAGCGUUAUCCGGAUUUACUGGGUGUAAAGGGGGCGUAGACGGCAUGGCAAGCCUGAAGUGAAAUCCCGGGGCUCAACCCUGGAACUGCUUUGGGAACUGUCAAGCUAGAGUGCAGGAGAGGUAAGCGGAAUUCCUAGUGUAGCGGUGAAAUGCGUAGAUAUUAGGAGGAACACCAGUGGCGAAGGCGGCUUACUGGACUGUAACUGACGUUGAGGCUCGAAAGCGUGGGGAGCAAACAGGAUUAGAUACCCUGGUA